GACGAGGGACCCUAGCGUUGUUCGGAAUCAUUGGGCGUAAAGCGGGUGUAGGUGGCUUUGUAAGUCAGGUGUGAAAGCCCAGGGCUUAACCCUGGAAGUGCAUUUGAUACUGCGAAGCUUGAGUGCUGGAGAGGCUAUUAGAAUUCCUGGUGUAGUGGUGAAAUACGUAGAUAUCAGGAGGAAUACCGGAGGCGAAGGCGGAUAGCUGGCCAGACACUGACACUCAGACCCGAAAGUGCGGGGAUCAAAC
rnacentral:rRNA from 1 species